UUCCAGAUCAAAGCUGGAAUGGCUACCCACUACACAUUUCCUUCCUUAGACUAGCUUUCUGGCCAUGGUGAAAAUGAGGCGGACGUCAUGCUGGAGCACAGGAACACAGCACAAGGUUGAUUACUUCUAGCAGAAUGCUGGCAAGGGAGAAGACAGAGGAAGGAAAAAAAAAUAUCUCAUCAGGUCUCAGAUUCAUCAGUCUUGGAAGCUUUGUGUUAUUCAAGCAUUCUAAGAGUAGCCAAGAAUCCACACAUCUCUACAGCAUCACAGAAAAUAAACGUAAGAGGGAGGUGUGGCACAUAAUACUUCCUUUUCUUUUCAUUUUGAGAAAUCAGGUUAGAUACAAG